rnacentral:lncRNA from 1 species
UCUUAAUAUAUAUAUAUAUAUUGAUUUGAUUAUAAAAUAUAUAUUAUUUUAUUAAAAAUUUGAUAUAAAUCAAAUUUAGAUUCUUAGCCUGACUAUGUUAUGAACCCUAUUAAUUGGAGUCCAUGAAUUGAUACUUUGAGCUCAUGAUUUUAUUUCUGCGCUAUCAUAGGGUAUAAGUGCAGUAUUUCGAUCCUAUCAC